UACGUAGGGUGCAAGCGUUAAUCGGAAUUACUGGGCGUAAAGCGUGCGCAGGCGGUUAUGUAAGACAGGUGUGAAAUCCCCGGGCUUAACCUGGGAACUGCAUUUGUGACUGCAUAGCUAGAGUACGGUAGAGGGGGACGGAAUUCCGCGUGUAGCAGUGAAAUGCGUAGAUAUGCGGAGGAACACCGAUGGCGAAGGCAAUCCCCUGGACCUGUACUGACGCUCAUGCACGAAAGCGUGGGGAGCAAACAGG
rnacentral:rRNA from 1 species